rfam:Trichuris muris Edinburgh genomic scaffold, scaffold59
UCCUCGGUAGUAAAGCGGUGAGUAUUCCCGCCUAUCACGCGGGCGACCCGGGUUCGAUUACCGGCCGGGGAG